rnacentral:tRNA from 1 species
AGUAGCUAGGCGGCGAGUUGUAGCCUCGCUGAGGGUAAGACGUAAGUAGGUGUCCCUGCUACCA